rnacentral:rRNA from 1 species
UUUAACUGAAGAGUUUGAUCAUGGCUCAGAUUGAACGCUGGCGGCAGGCUUAACACAUGCAAGUCGAGCGGGGAAGGUUGCUUCGGUAACUGACCUAGCGGCGGACGGGUGAGUAAUGCUUAGGAAUCUGCCUAUUAGUGGGGGACAACAUUCCGAAAGGGAUGCUAAUACCGCAUACGCCCUACGGGGGAAAGCAGGGGAUCUUCG